AUUGAACGCUGGCGGCAGGCCUAACACAUGCAAGUCGAGCGGAGAGGCGGACGGGUGAGUAAUGUCUGGGAAUCUGCCUGGUAGUGGGGGAUAACGUCCGGAAACGGGCGCUAAUACCGCAUACUAUCAGAUAAGCCUAGGUCGGGUUAGCUCGUUGGUGGGGAAAGGCCUACAAAGGCGACGAUCAGUAACUGGUCUGAGAGGAUGAUCAGUCACACUGGAACUGAGACACGGUCCAGACUCCGACGGGAGGCAGCAGUGGGGAAUAUUGGACAAUGGGCGAAAGCCUGAUCCAGCCAUGCCGCGUGUGUGAAGAAGGUCUUCGGAUUGUAAAGCACUUUAAGUUGGGAGGCGUUACCAACAGAAUAAGCACCGGCUAACUUCGUGCCAGCCGCCGCGGUAAUUC
rnacentral:rRNA from 1 species